rnacentral:rRNA from 1 species
UGAGUUGCGAACGGGUGAGUAACGCGUAGGUAACCUGCCUUGUAGCGGGGGAUAACUAUUGGAAACGAUAGCUAAUACCGCAUAACAAUGGAUGACACAUGUCAUUUAUUUGAAAGGGGCAAUUGCUCCACUACAAGAUGGACCUGCGUUGUAUUAGCUAGUAGGUGAGGUAAUGGCUCACCUAGGCGACGAUACAUAGCCGACCUGAGAGGGUGAUCGGCCACACUGGGACUGAGACACGGCCCAGACUCCUACGGGAGGCAGCAGUAGGGAAUCUUCGGCAAUGGGGGCAACCCUGACCGAGCAACGCCGCGUGAGUGAAGAAGGUUUUCGGAUCGUAAAGCUCUGUUGUAAGUCAAGAACGGGUGUGAGAGUGGAAAGUUCACACUGUGACGGUAGCUUACCAGAAAGGGACGGCUAACUACGUGCCAGCAGCCGCGGUAAUACGUAGGUCCCGAGCGUUGUCCGGAUUUAUUGGGCGUAAAGCGAGCGCAGGCGGUUUGAUAAGUCUGAAGUUAAAGGCUGUGGCUCAACCAUAGUUCGCUUUGGAAACUGUCAAACUUGAGUGCAGAAGGGGAGAGUGGAAUUCCAUGUGUAGCGGUGAAAUGCGUAGAUAUAUGGAGGAACACCGGUGGCGAAAGCGGCUCUCUGGUCUGUAACUGACGCUGAGGCUCGAAAGCGUGGGGAGCGAACAGGAUUAGAUACCCUGGUAGUCCACGCCGUAAACGAUGAGUGCUAGGUGUUGGAUCCUUUCCGGGAUUCAGUGCCGCAGCUAACGCAUUAAGCACUCCGCCUGGGGAGUACGACCGCAAGGUUGAAACUCAAAGGAAUUGACGGGGGCCCGCACAAGCGGUGGAGCAUGUGGUUUAAUUCGAAGCAACGCGAAGAACCUUACCAGGUCUUGACAUCCCGAUGCUAUUUCUAGAGAUAGAAAGUUACUUCGGUACAUCGGUGACAGGUGGUGCAUGGUUGUCGUCAGCUCGUGUCGUGAGAUGUUGGGUUAAGUCCCGCAACGAGCGCAACCCCUAUUGUUAGUUGCCAUCAUUCAGUUGGGCACUCUAGCGAGACUGCCGGUAAUAAACCGGAGGAAGGUGGGGAUGACGUCAAAUCAUCAUGCCCCUUAUGACCUGGGCUACACACGUGCUACAAUGGUUGGUACAACGAGUUGCGAGUCGGUGACGGCGAGCUAAUCUCUUAAAGCCAAUCUCAGUUCGGAUUGUAGGCUGCAACUCGCCUACAUGAAGUCGGAAUCGCUAGUAAUCGCGGAUCAGCACGCCGCGGUGAAUACGUUCCCGGGCCUUGUACACACCGCCCGUCACACCACGAGAGUUUG